AUUGAACGCUGGCGGCAGGCCUAACACAUGCAAGUCGAACGGCAGCACAGAAGAGCUUGCUCUUUGGGUGGCGAGUGGCGGACGGGUGAGUAACACGUAGGAAUCUACCCAGUAGUGGGGGAUAACCUGGGGAAACCCAGGCUAAUACCGCAUACGCCCUGAGGGGGAAAGCGGGGGAUCUUCGGACCUCGCGCUAUUGGAUGAGCCUGCGUCGGAUUAGCUAGUUGGUGGGGUAAGGGCCCACCAAGGCGACGAUCCGUAGCUGGUCUGAGAGGAUGACCAGUCACACCGGAACUGAGACGACGGUCCGACUCCGUACGGGAGGCAGCAGGGUGGGGAAUUAGUUGGAACAAGUCGGGGC
rnacentral:rRNA from 1 species